rnacentral:lncRNA from 1 species
AAGCCAAAUGCUAGGUGUGUCCAAGUUGGAACAGGGCCUGAGUGAACACUUCAGAAAUACCAGUCAGAGGCAGACAGACCUUCAUCUCUGUGUGACACUGACAUCUCACAGGUACACUCCGGGGCCUCUCGGGAACCCUGGUGAAGGUACAAAUCAUAGAUGUGCACGCAACUAAUUGUAUUUUAUUUUGCCAUAAAGCUGUUUAGCCUUAAGACCCUUGAGUGGAAGUCUAACUGCCAUUGAGGUGUUGGUACCCCUUUUUACCCCAUCUUGUGUGGCUUAGAAAAGAGGCCUGCCUAGGUUUGCUCUGGCCCUCAGAUGCCCUCUCCUCCCUAAAUGUCCCUGUCUUUGUUGCUGCUUCAUGUACUGCCUUCUUACUCGCUUCAAUAAAAACUAUCUUCACCAGCUCCGGUGCCCUCCACCUGGAAGAGUCCUCAGAGUCCUUGAAGCACCGACCCUAAGCUUCCAAAAGAGAACCAUUUUACAUCCAAGGUGUUGGUGUGGAGACAUGUUGCCACCUCUCACACAGUUCAAAGGAAUCAAUGUGAACUUACCUGAAGCUUAAGUGAGUCUCAAGUAAAACGUCAGUCUUCACACUAGUGUAUCAGAACCUUUAAAGGAGGUCUUGAAUUCCUGCAGGUGCCAGACCUGGUGGGGGCAUCUCCACCUGCCACUUGACCUUCCUUAGAGCUACUGACUCUUUAUACCUGUGACUUCUGAGUCAUCCCAUCGACCUAUUAGUCCUUGAGAAGUUCACAGCUCAACUUUCAGAAGUCAGACUGCUUCUUGGUAAGAAUGCAGCACCCACCACCCCCACCCCAAUGAAUGUAGCCUCUUAAUAUUCAGACACUGUAUUUCAGCAUCAGUUGGAGACUGUCCACCAUCCAAGUUGCAAGGACAUUUAUACUCAUGAGCAGUUCGUCAUCCUGAGGCUUCUCAUACAAACAUUCUCCAUCAAAUCCUGCCAAAUCCUUUAUUGGGGUUUUUGUUGUUGUUGUUGUUGUUUCUUUUUCCUCUGUCCGAAUGAGCAUGAAUAAACAGGUGCAAAUGAGCUGAGGCUAUUUUUGUGGUCAGCUGAGGAUGCUGCCAAGAGCUCCCCUGUGUGGCUGUACGGAUGUGGAGAACAUGUGGGCACUCCAUGGAUGAUACCCCCUUUCUUGACAUUUUUAAACAAGCACAAAUGAUAUUUGUAAAAAAAAAAAAGUUUAAUUUUAUUUAUUAUGGUAAUAAACUAUUUUAUAUGU